GCCAAUUGCAGUUAAACACAGAUUGCAUGUCCUUUCUUCUUUUGGAAUGACUUAUACCAUCUUCCCAGCUCUACUGGGAUUUUACAUUGCAGCAUCUUAAUUUUGAAAUAUAUUUACGUUCGAAUGGUGUUAAUUUUAAAAUUCAAAUGCAUUGAUCGUCCAAUAAAGAACAAUGUAGAAAGGGGGGUUCCAACAUGUCCAACCCUCAGACCCUCCUGGAUCCCUGCCUGUGAGGCAUGCUUUAGCUUGCCAUUAAACAAAAAUGUAUACUAGUUGAGUGAUAAUGGACGUCAUAUUAAA
rnacentral:lncRNA from 1 species